UAGUAUAUUUGGUACUAAGAUUAAGUUGAGAGUAGGAUUGGGCUAAAAAAUCCUUAGGAUAGGUUAGAUUGAUACUCGGGGGUUGACCAUUUGUGAGACAGGGUCAAAAUUAGACCUCUAGCCACUAAAACGAUGGCUUAGAGCAAAAUAGGGAUUCAUUCAAAGAUCAAAGGAUAGGAUUUGAGAGCUAGCUUGAAGUCCUUUCUAGAGGCAUAAUUAUUAUUUUUUGAGGAUUUUUGAGGACUUAGUAAUUGUUGUUCAAAAUCAAGAUUUGUAUUGGUGAUUUGGAUUUUAUAUAAUAUACUUAGGACUAGUAAUUUUGGCUAGUUUGUACAAUUGGUGUAGCAUCUACAGUUCAAAAUUUAAUACUAUUUGGAUUAUUAGGUGCGCUAAGUAUAUACAAAAAAUUUUCAUAAUCUAAUAGUAUGGUUUAGCAAUAUGUGGUCUUUAGCAGAAGAGGGUUUUGGAAGUUGGCACUUUGGGGUUGGAUAGGAUUUCUAUGAUAUCUAGAGUUCUACUAGUUGGAUUAAGGUUAAAUUUGGCAUGGUAUUGAAGGACUUAAAGAUCAAGCUGCAUACUAAUUUUGAAUUAAAGUUAAUAAUUGGAGAAGGAGAAAUCACUACUUGGAUUUUUGCUUUACUUUUCAAGUUG
rnacentral:lncRNA from 1 species